AUUGAACGCUGGCGGCAUGCUUUACACAUGCAAGUCGAACGGACUUAGGUGCUUGCACCUAGGUUAGUGGCGAACGGGUGAGUAAUGCAUCGGAACGUACCGUGUAAUGGGGGAUAACGCAGCGAAAGUUGUGCUAAUACCGCAUACGAUCUACGGAUGAAAGCAGGGGAUCGCAAGACCUUGCGUUAUACGAGCGGCCGAUGUCGGAUUAGCUAGUUGGUAGGGUAAAGGCCUACCAAGGCAACGAUCCGUAGCGGGUCUGAGAGGAUGAUCCGCCACACUGGGACUGAGACACGGCCCAGACUCCUACGGGAGGCAGCAGUGGGGAAUUUUGGACAAUGGGCGCAAGCCUGAUCCAGCCAUGCCGCGUGAGUGAAGAAGGC
rnacentral:rRNA from 1 species